rnacentral:lncRNA from 1 species
CCAGUUCCCUAAUGGGAGAGAAGCCCUCGUUUAUGCUGGUACUUGGAUACCGACCACCCUGGGGACUUUGGAUGCAUCUUAGAGUCAACAGAACACUCGAGAGAGAGGGUAGAUUAAGAAUAGUGUUCUUCACAAAAAUUGUUUGGUCUCGCUCUCUCAAUCCUGAUGCAAUUUUCCUAAUGGUAAAAGAGUUUAUCCUCUUUUUUACUCCUCUUGUAGGUAGAUCACUGCCAUUUUUAUACCAGGAUAUUAAGGUACCACCACCUCACUCGAUCCUUGGUGAUUGAAUACUUUCAUGAUCCAAAAGUUACUCAGAAGAGUUAUUCUCGGGAUUAAUUUUCCAUUCAUCCAGGAAGCUUUUUUUUUUAAUUAAUGGAAAUUUCUAAGUACCAUCUACAGCCUGAAGGUGAAUGUGAAUUUUUAUAUGAAUUUUGUAUGAAUUUCUUGGA